rnacentral:rRNA from 1 species
AUACGGAGGGUGCAAGCGUUACUCGGAAUCACUGGGCGUAAAGCGCGCGCAGGCGGCCUGAUAAGUUGGAUGUGAAAGCCUACGGCUCAACCGUAGAACUGCAUCCAAAACUGUCAGGCUAGAGUGUGGGAGAGGAAGAUGGAAUUAGUUGUGUAGGGGUAAAAUCCGUAGAGAUAACUAGGAAUACCAAAAGCGAAGGCGAUCUUCUGGAACAGUACUGACGCUGAGGCGCGAAAGCGUGGGGAGCAAACAGGAUUAGAAACCCGGGUAGUCC